rnacentral:rRNA from 1 species
UACGAAGGGGGCUAGCGUUGUUCGGAAUCACUGGGCGUAAAGGGCGCGUAGGCGGCUGUUCAAGUCGGGGGUGAAAUCCUGUGGCUCAACCACAGAAUGGCCUUCGAUACUGGACGGCUAGAGACCGGAAGAGGUGAGUGGAACUGCGAGUGUAGAGGUGAAAUUCGUAGAUAUUCGCAAGAACACCAGUGGCGAAGGCGGCUCACUGGUCCGGUACUGACGCUGAGACGCGAAAGCGUGGGGAGCAAACAGG